ncrna:unclassified sequences RAGATH-9 RNA
CCAAUCAACCCAAAAGAACUGUAAAUAUACCAAAACCCUAAUACAUAUUAUUAUGUAAUGGCUAUUCAACGGCAAUCUGUAAAUCUACAGAUAAAGGGAGAGAAGGAUAGGGGUUAUCUGUAGAAUAAGAGAUAGGAAUAUACAGAACAGUUCUUUU